GUAGGACUUUUAUAGGAACAUUCUGGGCUUUUUCGUGUUAUGUUGUGUCUGCCUUCGCAUCGCCACAUGCCUUGUAAAAUGUUGGCAAGUAUAAUCGGACGUCACAUCCUUCGUAACUUUGGGGGAAUGCAGUGGAGUGGCCUCAUGCAGGUGUCCAGGAAGUUUGCCUGUUUAGGGCAGCGGACCACUCACUGUUCAACACUGUUUACUAGAGGUUUAUAUGGACAGCUGCCCCCAAGACAUGUUGCUGGUUCUGUUUUGGGAGCAUUUCACUGGUCUGCACAUAGACUGAAGAAACGUCCUCAGG